GAUCCUGUGGGUACCUUGCUUUGGUCACUCAGUCUUCCUGGGGUUUGUUGGAAACUCUACUCAAACCCUGCUUCUGAUACCAUCUGAUAAAGGAAAAACUUCAGCUGAAUUAAAUUUAAAGGAGUUUAAUUGAGCAAUGAAUGAUUCGUGAAUCGAGCAGGCUUGUGGGCCAGGGUAGGUUCAGAGACUCCAGUGUAGUCAUGUGGUAGAAGAUUUAUGGACAGAAAAAGGAAAGUGAUGUAUAGACAAUGAAAGUAAGGUGCAGAAACAACUGGAUUGGUUACAGGUGAGCGUCUGCCUUAUUUGAACAUGGUUCGAACAGUUAGCUACAUUUGAUUGGCAAAAACUCAGUGAUUGGCACAGGUGUGGCAAUCUGUUUACCACAGAUUUAACAAGUGGAGGGGUCUGUUUACUCUUCCACUUGUUAUAGUUCACGAUGCACAGAAAAAUGUUUAGGCUGAACUUAAAAUAUGUAAGGAGGCAGCUUUAGGUUAAACUUCAUUUAACAGUGAUGUGAAUAUAUUUGUGCAUUAGAAAGAUUUACAUGGCAAGAAUCUAUAUUAUAUUUAAUGGAGAAGGCUACAGGGUAAAUAAAUUGAAGAUGCUGUACUGAAAUUAUAAAAGGCUUUUUAUAUGUCAGGCUGAGGUGCUUUCACCGCAUUGCCAGUGAAUAAAGCAAGGCAAAAGGGAAAGUAUCAACACGGAUAAAGACAGGUGUUGGAGCUCCAGGCCUCAAAUCCUCACAACACGGCUUUUUCUACAAGCAGAAAAGAACCCAAUCCUCAACCGUGUUUCCUUCACCAGUGAGAACACCUUUCUGAGGAGCUCCCAGGAAGGAACAAAGAUUGAUUCUCUGGCACACAGGUUUCAGACAAGCAACUGUUGGAUUAGAGCAUACAGGGACAUAUAUUGUCCUACUGCCCCCUGUGGUUAGUAUGAUUUGUCUGACUAGCUAGUUAUUAAUAGUUGUCCCCUUCUCCUACCACUUCAAGCCCACUUCAACCAGCUCCUUCCAAAUGCUCAAGAGAAGACUUCAGAAGAAAUUCAAAGUUUUCAAAAUGAUGUUGGAUUGAAAGUUCUGAUGAUGUUCUAUAAACCAAGAGUUUGCAAACUGUGGCCAAAUCCUGCUCACCCUCUGAUUGUGUAUAGCCCCAAGCUAAGAAUGGUUUUUACAUUUUAAAGUAGCUGGAAAAUAUCAAAAGAAGAGUAAUAAUAUUUUGUGACACAUGAAAAUUCAUGAAAUUCAAACUUCAGUGUCCGUAAAUAAAGCUUACUGAAACAGAGC
rnacentral:lncRNA from 10 species